AUUUAGUUCAACCAUCAACCCAUCCCCACCAUGCCCCUCUACCAUGCCACAUCUACCCUUUUCUUGAAAAUCUCCAGAUGCAUAUUAUGCUUCUCUUCCAAAUACGUGCUGAAACUCUGAAGAGCUGUGUGGUGGUGUAGGAACCAAAAGGCUGGAUGAAAGUUCCAUAAGAUGGCAACUGGUAAUGCUGAGCCUGCUGCAGACCAUAUAUCAACACACACAGCUCCUGCUGCACCACAGAAGGCAGUGUGAAUAAAGACAUGUUGCUUUCUGACGACCCUGAGUGAGCAUGUAAUGUGUCCCAUACAUGGAAAGAGCUGAAACCUGUGUCAGUGUCUACAGUGUUUGAAUAGUCUGGUUUUAAUAGAAACAUGAAAACGCCAUAUGGAGCCAGACAACCAUUUCCUUCCUUCAGUGUGUUUGGUUUUGUUCAUCAAAAUGAGUGAAAGAGGACUCAUUCGCCUGUACAUCUUAGUGAGCCCAAGUGAAAAAGAAUAAAACAGCAUCUGAAAAUGUAUUAUGGAGUUUGCUUGCUGAUGCAAAAAGAAAAUUAACACCUUGGCUGAUAACUUGGAUUGCUUUACUCUUAUGACGUUUUACAGCAAUAAUUAUCCCUUUCUGUGAAACAACACUUUUUAAGGAAGAUUUUAAUUAGAAAGUUUCUUUUAUUUCCCAUUGCACUCAUGGUACCAAAAGGAAACAUGUCAGUGUCCCUUCCAUUAAUUUAUCAAAUGCUUUCUGCUUUUUAUAAAAAAUGGAUAUCUGACACUGAAGAAAGAUACAGUUUUG
rnacentral:lncRNA from 1 species